rnacentral:rRNA from 1 species
GAUGAACGCUGGCGGCGUGCCUAAUACAUGCAAGUCGAGCGAACGGACGAGAAGCUUGCUUCUCUGAUGUUAGCGGCGGACGGGUGAGUAACACGUGGAUAACCUACCUAUAAGACUGGGAUAACUUCGGGAAACCGGAGCUAAUACCGGAUAAUAUUUUGAACCGCAUGGUUCAAAAUUGAAAGACGGUAUUGCUGUCACUUAUAGAUGGAUCCGCGCUUCAUUAGCUAGUUGGUAAGUUAACGGCUUACCAAGGCAACGAUGCAUAGCCGACCUGAGAGGGGGACCGGCCACACGGGAACUGGGACACGGUCCAGACUCCUACGGGAGGAAGCAGUAGGGAAUCUUCCGCAAUGGGCGAAAGCCUGACGGAGCAACGCCGCGUGAGUGAUGAAGGUCUUCGGAUCGUAAAACUCUGUUAUUAGGGAAGAACAUAUGUGUAAGUAACUGUGCACAUCUUGACGGUACCUAAUCAGAAAGCCACGGCUAACUACGUG